GACGAACGCUGGCGGCGUGCUUAACACAUGCAAGUCGAACGGAAAGGCCCUGCUUUUGUGGGGUGCUCGAGUGGCGAACGGGUGAGUAACGCGCGAGUAACCUGCCCUUGACUUUGGGAUAACUUCAGGAAACUGGGACUAAUACCGGAUAGGAGCUCCUGCUGCAUGGUGGGGGUUGGAAAGUUUCGGCGGUUGGGGAUGGACUCGCGGCUUAUCAGCUUGUUGGUGGGGUAGUGGCUUACCAAGGCUUUGACGGGUAGCCGGCCUGAGAGGGUGACCGGCCACAUUGGGACUGAGAUACGGCCCAGACUCCUACGGGAGGCAGCAGUGGGGAAUAUUGCACAAUGGGCGGAAGCCUGAUGCAGCAACGCCGCGUGCGGGAUGACGGCCUUCGGGUUGUAAACCGCUUUCGCCUGUGACGAAGCGUGAGUGACGGUAAUGGGUAAAGAAGCACCGGCUAACUACGUG
rnacentral:rRNA from 1 species